GCCUACGGGGGGCAGCAGUGGGGAAUAUUGCGCAAUGGGCGAAAGCCUGACGCAGCGACGCCGUGUGAGGGAUGAAGGUCUUCGGAUCGUAAACCUCUGUCAGCAGGGAAGAACGGUCACUGUGCUAAUCAGCAGUGAAUUGACGGUACCUGCAAAGGAAGCACCGGCUAACUCUGUGCCAGCAGCCGCGGUAAUACGGAGGGUGCGAGCGUUAAUCGGAAUUACUGGGCGUAAAGCGCUCGUAGGCGGUAUGUCAAGUCAAGGGUGAAAUCCCCGCGCUCAACGUGGGAACUGCCUUUGAAACU
rnacentral:rRNA from 1 species